rnacentral:lncRNA from 1 species
UCAGCAGAAGAAAAGUCAGUUUCUUUUGCGCACUAAACUGUCCAAGGCAUCAGCAAAGGGGGGGAAAACUGCUUUCUUGACAACAUGACCCUUUUUCACUGGUUCCAUUGUUGUGCUUUUCUUUUUUCUUCACAGAUCUGCCAGCUCUUCCCAGAAAGAGACUCUAGAACUGACAGGAGGAAAUUGAAUGCACUUUAAAUCUGAAAUCUGUCAUCAGAGUGGCAGUCUUCACAAACUCAACUUUUCAAAGCAGGAAAUGUAUAUUUGCAUGUGUUUUCAUAAUACCUAGUAUAAUAGACCUUUAAUUUUCACAAAGACCUCUGAAGCCUUGUGUUAUAAAUAUUUCAUAAUCAUGUAGCUGUGUCUUCAUCUCUGUCAACAUUGUCUUCAAACAUGCAGGAAAUAUUUUUUAUCACAGCCAGCAGCCACUUAAUAUGUGUAUCAGGAAGGACUUUAGUACAGAAGGCUUACUGAUCACCUGUGGAUAAUUUACUGCUAUUUUGCUUCACUCAGCCAUUCUCUUAACUGGAAAGGGGUGCAGGUGAGACUUCUUCAGCUAUAAGGAGUGGAUUUGUAUUAGCCACAUGAAGCCUUGUUUAAACUUGCAAAAGACUAUUGACACUAUCAAGUCAGAUGCCUGGCUGGCAGGUAUAAGUCCCUUAUAUAAUGACUGAAGCAUCCAGAAUGUAAUUCAGUACAUUUUGAAAAACGUCAGUUCUUUAGAUUGUGUUGAAUGGAGGAUUUUAGCAGUAAAAGCUAUAUACGGAAGCUCUCUUUAGCUCUCAUCAACGCUUUUCUUCCUACUGCUGUUCUCCAACUUAUGGCUUAUGGCAAAGUUACUUCUCUGGCAAAUUAUUGAGCUGUAUGUUAGAAACAAAGGAAUAAAACUGAUACAGCACUGCAACAGUACCAGAGACUUGGACUGAAAGGCAAAGGAUCCAGGAUUGUCCCCUUUUCUUCUGCUGAUGUAUCUGUAACACUGGCAUGGCCUUUCCUUCUGUAGUUUCAGACUCUAACUUCUUAUUGGAAAACUGCUGGAGACCUUUUCUUGCUAUGCUGUUAUUUGGAGAGAAUAAAGAAUCAUUUCUACUUCCAGCUCAGUUAAAGCUUCGUAAACCCACAGUUUGA